CCCCUAUGGAUUGUAGCGCCCACCCGCCUGCUCUGAAUGAGCUGUAUCAGGAUGCACCAGGCUGGCUGAUAACUGGAGCACAUUUUACAUGCAUGAAAGAUAACAAUAGAUGAGGAAACUGAGAACCAGGAAGGUUAAGUUACUUGCUGAAAAUCAUAUCAAUAGUAAUAGAAGUGGGACUUAUCUCCAGGUACUUUAAUUCCAGAGGUCAGUACUCUUUCCAUGGUACCACUGACUUCUCUCUAUGAAAAAGAGGCUUGGUCUACAUAUUCCUCAAGCUGCUUACAUCUCUAAUACUUCAUUUGCAUGGAUUUAAUUAGUAUGAGUUCAUUAGUAUGAAGAUAAUAUUUCAUUAGCGUUAUAUGUUAAAUAAAAUUGAGACCUAACUCCUGUGGAGUUGAAAAGUA